AGUGUGAAGCAACCCGAUUUCGACCAUUUGAAUAAAAAAAAUCAGGAAUAAAAAGUGUCCAAAAACUUACCUCGCGCAUGUAGCUGCUUCAGAUGGUCGACGGUGAGCUGCAGGAUUUCGGCCUUCUCCAGCUUGGCGGAGCCCUGCUUCUCGUAGGCACUCGGAACCAGUCGCUUCAGUUCGGAGAGCGAGGAAUUGAUCCGGUCCCGGCGUUUCUUCUCGAUCACGCCGCGCCGUCGUUUGCGGCUCUGCAGUUGACAGCUGUCCGAUUCGCCAGAGGGGACACAACUUGAAUAUGCGAAAAGGAGCCUUAACAAGAAAAGUCGGAAGAUACAAAUAUGUACACAAAUUCUGUUUCCAGCUGGCAGCUCCCGUCAAAUGGACUGGAAUAAACGAACAAACCGUUGGGUUUACGACAUUUGGAACCUUAAGGAAAGUUCUGCUAAAGCCAUUCCAAAAAGACGAAUGACUCGUGAAAUACUUUGGCUAUCAAUAACCCCCCGGACAAUUCCGGAAUCUACUCAUUGACACACCACGUGACACGGCGAAGAGUUCAAAGUCAAUAGAAAAAGAAGAACAAACGGAGUCAAUCGAUGACGGGACGAUUUUGGUUUUUCUCUGAAAGGACUCCGGUGCAUCAUCAAUCAUACAAUUUUAUCUUAUGAAAACGGCGCUAAAUUAGGUGCAUGCUGCUGCUGCUGUUAUCUACUUCUGUUCUCGAAAGUACCGGAAACGAAACCCUUUUCGAGAGGCAGACAAAAAAAAACUAAUCAGUCCGUGUCCGAUUGUGAUCGCGAAGAAUCGGGAUUAUCGAUUGAGAUUAUUGAUGGGUUCUCGGUCGGAGUGAUUGGAUGGAACAACAACAAUCAACGAGACGACAUCCUUCCGAGGGGAAUUGGGAUUGCCAAUUAGCACCACGCAUUGGAUUUGUACGGUUAAAAAAUGAGGAGUCAUCCUAAUGCUGAUAGUCAAGUUUUUAA